rnacentral:rRNA from 1 species
CGGAGGAAGGUGGGGAUGAGGUCAAGUCAUCAUGCCCCUUAUGUCUUGGGCUGCAAACAUGCUACAAUGGCCGGUACAGAGGGCUGCGAGACCGCAAGGUGGAGCUAAUCCCAAAAAGCCGGUCUCAGUUCGGAUUGGGGUCUGCAACUCGACCCCAUGAAGUCGGA